AUCACCUAGGGAGUCUUGUUUUAAGUGGCUCUGGGCUUGGGCCUGCAAUUCUGCAUUUCUAGCAAGGUCCCAGAUGACGCUGAUGCU
rnacentral:pre_miRNA from 1 species